rnacentral:misc_RNA from 1 species
GAUGAAGAACGUAGCGAAAUGCGAUAAGUAAUGUGAAUUGCAGAAUCCAGUGAAUCAUCGAAUCUUUGAACGCACAUUGCGCCCGCCAGCAUUCUGGCGGGCAUGCCUGUUCGAGCGUCAUUUCAACCCUCGACCUCCCUUUGGGGAAGUCGGCGUUGGGGACCGGCAGCACACCGCCGGCCCUGAAAUGGAGUGGCGGCCCGUCCGCGGCGACCUCUGCGUAGUAAACCAACUCGCACCGGAACCCCGACGUGGCCACGCCGUAAAACACCCAACUUCUGAACGCUGACCUCGAAUCAGGUAGGACUACCCGCUGAACUUAAGCAUAUCAAUAAGCGGAGGA